rnacentral:rRNA from 1 species
AGAGUUUGAUCAUGGCUCAGAACGAACGCUGGCGGCGUGGAUAAGACAUGCAAGUCGAGCGCUGAUUUCAGGGUAGCAAUAUUCUGGAGUCGGAGCGGCGCAAGGGUGCGUAACACGUGGGUAAUCUGCCAUGAAGUCUGGCAUAACUUGCUGAAAGGCGAGCUAAUACCGGAUGUGACCAUUGGGAGGCAUCUCCUGAUGUUUAAAGUUGGGGACCGUAAGGCCUGACGCUUCAUGAUGAACCCGCGGCCUAUCAGCUAGUUGGUGAGGUAACGGCCCACCAAGGCUAAGACGGGUAGCUGGUCUGAGAGGACGACCAGCCACACUGGAACUGAGACACGGUCCAGACACCUACGGGUGGCAGCAGUCGAGAAUUUUUCACAAUGGGCGCAAGCCUGAUGGAGCGACGCCGCGUGGGGGAUGAAUGGCUUCGGCCCGUAAACCCCUGUCAUUCGCGAUCAAACCUUGUUAUUUAAAAGAUGACGAGCUGAUAGUAGCGGAAGAGGAAGGGACGGCUAACUCUGUGCCAGCAGCCGCGGUAAUACAGAGGUCCCAAGCGUUGUUCGGAUUCACUGGGCGUAAAGGGUGCGUAGGUGGUGAGGUAAGUCGGAUGUGAAAGCUCGGAGCUCAACUCCGAAAUGGCAUUGGAAACUACCUUGCUGGAGGGAUGGAGGGGGGACUGGAAUUCUCGGUGUAGCAGUGAAAUGCGUAGAUAUCGAGAGGAACACCAGUGGCGAAGGCGAGUCCCUGGACAUCUCCUGACACUGAGGCACGAAAGCUAGGGGAGCAAACAGGAUUAGAUACCCUAGUAGUCC